CGUUAAGUAACUUAAUUUAAAGUAUUGGUCUCUUAAACCAAAUAAUAGUAUUUGAUACUCUUAAUGA
rnacentral:tRNA from 1 species